UGCCAGCAGCCGCGGUAACACGAACCGUCCAAACGUUAUUCGGUAUCACUGGGCUUAAAGCGUGCGUAGGCGGCUUGGUAGGUGAGAUGUGAAAGCCCACGGCUCAACCGUGGAAUUGCGUUUCAAACCCCCAAGCUUGAGGAAGACAGGGGUGUUGGGAACUUAUGGUGGAGCGGUGAAAUGCGUUGAUAUCAUAGGGAACACCGGUGGCGAAGGCGCAACACUGGGUCUUUUCUGACGCUGAGAUGCGAAAGCGUGGGGAGCAAACAGGAUUAGAUA
rnacentral:rRNA from 1 species